rnacentral:miRNA from 1 species
AGGUUGGUGCAAAAGUAAUCACAGUUUUUACAAUUACUUGUAAUGGCAAAAACUGCCAUUACUUUUGCACCAACCUAAUA